GCUUUUCACUGUGAACCCGCAUCUUCUGAUAUGGAUUAGAGACCUUGCCAAGGCACAGACUACUGUGCCUCACAUGGAAAAAUUACAGAGGGCUUGUGGUGUGGAGACAACCCUUAGUUCUUAGGAUCUGUAGCUGGGUCUCUUGGUACAGAAGACAGCUCUGCUGAGAUACUGGAACUACAGAAAUUCACACUCAUCUGAAUCUUUUGGAGCCUUGAUUUCUAUUUCUUGUGCUGAGCCUGAACUGCUGCCUUGACUUAAACUAUUUUCUUCUAAUCCUGUCUACAAUUACCAUUAGUGAAUUUAGCUGCAGAAAUCCCAGGAAGAAUGCCCUAAUAUAUCAGUGGUUGAUGAGCUAAUCAAAAAUAUUUCCAUCCCUGAUACCUUCUAGAAGAGCUUCACAUGUGCUACAAGAAACCAGACAGAAGUGAAUCCCUUGGCCUUUGAAACUAGUGUCAGCCAUUUCUACCUGUUCAUUUAACAUCAAAUGAAUAAAAGUUCCCAGCUUCGGCUCCAGGAUCUUGCACACAUCUAAACUAAGAAGAUGUGAGAUAAAGGAAAGAAACAUGGCAUAAGAGCCAGGAAAGGAAAAUAUAGCAGAAGAGAAAGAAAGCAAACUAAAAGAAAAAAAGAAAACCAGUAGUGUUGGAAUCUCCAAAUGAGAUCAGAACUCUGUGAUGUUAGCUAGAAUUCUUGCACGUUGUAUAAGAUGGUACCAGUACUCCAAUUUGAUCUGGAAGACAGACUAGAGGUGGAAAAUAAGGACAUAGGAAGAUCUGAUACUAGUGAAGGUAUGAAACAUAACAGCAACCCUACAUAGGGGAAGGCUGAUAAAAAAAGGCCAAGGAGCUAUGUUCAUGCUUAGAAAGAAGCAAAAUCGCUUCUGAUAGAUUCUUGGCAAUACCAGGCAAAGUAUUCACAGGGAAGCCAAUAGUCAUAUACAGAAAGAAGAGCUGAACUCAUCCAGCUGGUGAAGGGGCUGCCUGGCUAUGCAACACUCCUCAGAAAGCAGCCUAAGUCCAAGUGAUGCUUUCCCUACAGUGACUGGCCCUUGUAUGAGCCCAGAGUAGCUCCAUGCUUGGUCCACCCCUUCUGGUCAUGUGGGGAGCACACGUACAAACAAUUUGCCUGUGCUCCCUAGGCCAACCACACCCCUUCACAGGGGCUCAAUCAUCAUUUCAAGCCCUCACCUAACAGUUCCCCUACAAUGCUGAUUGUGCCACUUGUGCCUAUACUCAUCAUUCAAAGAUUAAUUACUCUAACAUGGCUUGAAAAAUUACACAUGGGUGGAAGCAAAGGGAAUCUGUGUGCAUCUUGAUAAAGGGACGUGACUGGCAUGGCCAGCUCCUGGUUCCUGUUGCCCUAGCUUGCCUCAGAGCUUAAGAACAAAGAUGGGGCCCCGACUAGUCACCCAGUGCUUCCUCUGAUGGGCUGGGUCAUAAUUUCUGGCAGGUGCUUUCCAUGAGUGAGAGGU